rnacentral:rRNA from 1 species
UACAGAGGGGGCAAGCGUUGUUCGGAAUUACUGAGCGUAAAGGGCGCGUAGGCGGCCUUCUAAGUCGAACGUGAAAUCCCCGGGCUCAACCCGGGAACUGCGUCCGAUACUGGAAGGCUUGAAUCCGGGAGAGGGAUGCGGAAUUCCAGGUGUAGCGGUGAAAUGCGUAGAUAUCUGGAGGAACACCGGUGGCGAAGGCGGCAUCCUGGACCGGCAUUGACGCUGAGGCGCGAAAGCCAGGGGAGCAAACGGG